GCGUGAGGCGGGCUGAGGCGGCCAUCUCCCUCAGCGCAGGGGACGGUUCGUGGUAGUCGUGGGGUGGGUUAGGCGUAGCCUGGUGAGGAGGGGGGGGGCUCGUCUCGCAGCGUUGUCGCUCCCGGGCACGGAUGGGGCUGGGACUAGGCGGCGGCUGGGGUGCGGCAGCCUGGCCGGGAUGGCGGCUGGGCGAUGAGGGGAGAAGCGCAGCCCUCCUCGGCCGGGGCUGACGCUGGGGGAACGGGGCCCGGGGAACAGGGAUUUCAGGGGCCGUUUCGCUUGUCGCGAAGGGCCGGGUGCGGUGCCGGGCCAGUGAAAUGCCGUCCCGAGAGCAGCGCCUGCUCCAAGGGCAGCGCCGUGCCUUAGAAUGGGAGAAGGCGUUGGAAACAAGUCGGGCUUCAAGCCGGAGUUGAAGCUGGGCAAACCCCUCUCUUCCCCCGAGGAAAGUCGGUGACACGAAGGGCUGUGUCCCGCCUGAAGAGCCGCCGCAGCAAGCCGCCCCCACACGCCCUGCCCAGCUCCAGGGCUGGGGUUAGAUAUUUCGUGAGGCGGUCUAGCUAAUUAAAGCAGGGAAAGCUUUCAGUGUUAUCAGACUAGGGCAAUCUCGGGGAGUCAAUAAUUUUCCCCCCUCAGGUUCCUCGCAACAGUAUUCCCCCCCCCCCCCCCCCCCCGAAAUCAGUGCUACUGAAGCUGUUACCUACUUAAAAUAAAACAAAAAUCUUGAAAAUCUGUUGUUUCAUUUAGGGAAAAAACAGUUUCUUGGUUACUAGAAUGUCUCUCAAAAGUCUUGGGUUUUUUUUGUUUGUUUGGUUUUUUUGGUUGGUUUUUUUUUUGUUUUUUUUUUUUUUAAUUCUAUAAUGUUUUCAGGACAAUGGAUCUUUCCAGGGAGGAGGACCUGCAGUUUCAUUUGAAUGACACCUAAAUAAACACAUUUUAUUCCAAAUAAGGGAUUUUGGCUGCUACUUCCAAUCUGCUCCUCUUGUUUGAGCAACUUCACAGAUGAUGUAGCAUCACCCCGUUGCUAUACUGUGUUCUUUGCUUUGGGGCUGAAGAGAAUGUGCUUAGAAACAUGGAUGUUUUCUGUCCUUUGGAAUUGGUGCAGCAUCUCUCUGCCAGGCGUCACCAGUUAGCAGUCUGAGCAAAUACAAACUUUGCAUCCAUUAACAGACAAACAAGAAUUUCAAUACCUAAGAAGUUACCAGGAAAAUGGAGCCAGGUUCUUAACUAAGGAUCACUUCUUCAGCUUCAUUUAUUGGUGAUGUAGACACCAUUAUUUUCCUGUUUCCAAAGAUGAUGGACUUCCUGUGUGUUAUAAAAGCUUCUCAAGUUUGUGUUGCAAACCCUCUGAAAAAAAGGACUAGAGCUCAACAGUAAGCUGUAAUUGUAAAUAUAAAUAAGUAGUUUCUGUAAUAUUUGACCUUGUGGCACCCUUACUAAGGUGAUGUAUAAAUCAGAUUUUAUCUUGAUCGAAUUACUGGGGGUACAUAAUGAUCUCACCUUGAAAAUAACCUAAGUUGGUAUUCCACUCGCAGAAAAAACUAGUAUACUUUGAAUUAUAAUCUAAAUCUGUAUCUUGCACAUUUACUUCCUUUCGUAUCUUGUAAUGAAGCACUCUCUAUCACAAAAAAUAUCAUCUAACAUCAAUGAAACA